rnacentral:lncRNA from 1 species
GAUUUUGCUGGAGAUCCAUGUCUAUCUGAGGCCUUCUAAGGGUGAACAAGCCUAACUUGAACCUUUCAUCAUUGGAGAGGUGCUACACAUCUUUGAUCAUUUUCAUGGCUCUCCUUUGGAUCUGAUAUUUAAUGAGAAUACAUACAGUAAUGAGAACCUAGUUCAGCUCAAAAUACAACUAAAUCCCCAGCUGCUUAUUUGCUAUGGAUUAUUCAGUGUGGAAUGUACUACAGCACAUCUGAAGUCCUGAACUGCCCAGCGUUGUAGGAGUGUGACAAUAUCUGCAGUGGGAGACUUGUGUUGCAGUUUAUACUGGCUCUCAACACAGCUGCUGAAGCUGAUAACAUCACCUUUUUCCACCAGAUUAUUGCUGCAAGAUUUGUCUGGACUUUUAUUUUGCUUAGUUUAGGCUGUAGCUUUUCAAAGGCUGCUAUUCUCUUGCAUUUCUCCAGGGAUCUAUUACUUUCCAACUGUCUAUCUUGGAUUCACUGUUUUCCUUCAGGUUCAAAUACUUAUCAGGGAGCUGAAUGACUCAAAGUGACACUUUUGCCCAAAGCACUCUGCAGAAAUUCAUGAGUGAUUAUACAUGUCUUAUAACUUCUUCAGGAAGCAAUGAGGAAAAUGAGUCCUCACUGAGGACACAUUCCUCAGGCUGACUGCCAGCAAAUAAUAAAUCUUGGAAGUAUAUACCACAUAAAACACUAAUGAAAUGACAGCAACCUUAUUAACUGUGCUGUAGUAAAUAGCUACCCCAUUUGAGUUGCUGGAGGGAGAAGUCAGGAGGAAUGCCAGAAGACAGUGAUUUGGUGCAAAAGUAGAGGAUGUGUGGAUAGUGAUGAAAAGCAAAGAUAUGUCCUUGCAUGUAAAUUGGAUGAAACCUUGGUAGUCUUCAGGACUCUUUAACUGUAGACCUAUGAACUGCAUCAUGCUCAGACUGGGAUUGAUUUAAGAGAACAGUGCAGGUAAGAAAACACAGCACCUGCAAGACUGAAGCCAUUCUAAAUACAAGGAUUUGUGCUGACAUCUACACAAAUGGAAUAAUUUUCUGAUGACCUACAUGCUGGUAAAGGGGUUUUUCACUGCUGGUGUCUGGGAUCAAAAGAUUUUUCCUCUGAGCUCAGGUUUUUGAAGAGAUGGAUUUCAGAGAACUUUCUCAUUUUCUGGUCCCCCUGCUGUUUUCCACCAGGAGAUAGGGUAAUGUGACCAGUACAGUCUUAAUUGCUUUGGUUUUAUUGAAACUCAGAUAAUAUCAAAUGCCUUUAACUAUAGAUAAAUGAGUCUUAAUUGUUAGGAUACUUGUUUACCUCUUGUGCCUGUAAGGUUAGCAUGUAUUUGCCUAGUAUAUAGGACCAUAGAUCUCUUACUUUUGGGACUGCUUGAGUGUUUUCUCAAAUCAAUGCUGAUAAUUCCACAUGUGACUGAAUUUCUUGUGCAUGUAGAAUAUAGCUUUGUUCUUUACUCAGUGUUUCCCAGAAAGUGCAUUUUUCAGCUACACUGUGUGCAUUCAUUGCAUGUCUGUUUACUUUCCAGUACUGUAGUGAU